rnacentral:ncRNA from 1 species
CCUUCAACGUCAGCUGUUCCUAUAUCAUUGUGAAGCAGAAUUCACCAAGCAUUGGAUUGUUCACUCCCUAAUAGGGAACGUGGGCUGGGUUUAGACCAUCGUGAGACAGGUU